UUAUUUCUUAGAACUUAAGAACAAGUGUAAGUGCAAGAAAUGUAACAAUGUUGUAACUUUGUGUGGGAAUAGUAGGUGCAGAAAGACAACAUAUCCACACACAUACACCUA